UUCCAUAACGAGCGCAACCCCUAUCUUUAGUUGCCAGCGAGUAAUGUCGGGGACUCUAAAGAAACUGCCCGUGUAAGCGGUGAGGAAGGUGGGGAUGACGUCAAGUCAUCACGGCCCUUACGUCCAGGGCGACACACGUGCUACAAUGGUAGGGACAGUGAGUUGCAAGCCAGCAAUGGUGAGCUAAUCUAUAAACCCUAUCUCAGUUCGGAUCGAGGUCUGCAACCCGACCUCGUGAAGCUGGAAUCGCUAGUAAUCGGAUAUCAGCCAUGAUCCGGUGAAUACGUUCCCGGGCCUUGUACACACCGCCCGUCAAGCCAUGGAAAUUGGGAGUGCCUAAAGUCGGCCACCGCAAGGAGCCGCCUAGGGCAAAACCAGUAACUGGGGCUAAGUCGUAAACAAGUAAC
rnacentral:rRNA from 1 species